UUUCGCAGAGGGAUAGCCCAGAGAAAUUUGGAUUAAUACCUCAUAGUAUAGCAGUUUCGCAUGAAACCACUAUUAAAGUCACAACGGGGAAAGAUGAGCAUGCGUCCCAUUAGCUAGAUGGGAAGGUAACGGCUUACCAUGGCGACGAUGGGUAGGGGUCCUGAGAGGGAGAUCCCCCACACUGGGACUGAGACACGGACCAGACUCCUACGGGAGGCAGCAGUGAGGAAUAUUGGACAAUGGGCGCAAGCCUGAUCCAGCCAUGCCGCGUGCAGGAUGACGGUCCUAUGGAUUGUAAACUGCUUUUGUGCAGGAAGAAACACUCCCUCGUGAGGGAGCUUGACGGUACUGUAAGAAUAAGGAUCGGCUAUCUCCGUGCCAGCAGCCGCGGUAAUACGGAGGAUCCAAGCGUUAUCCGGAAUCAUUGGGUUUAAAGGGUCCGUAGGCGGUUUAGAAAGUCAGUGGUGAAAGCCCAUCGCUCAACGGUGGAACGGCCAUUGAUACUGCUAAACUUGAAUUAUUAGGAAGUAACUAUAAUAUGUAGUGUAGCGGUGAAAUGUUUAUAGAUUACAUGGAAUACCAAUUGCGAAGGCAGGGUACUA
rnacentral:rRNA from 1 species